GACGAACCACACGAACGUUAUUCGGAAUUACUGGGCUUAAAGGGUGCGUAGGCGGCGUAGCAAGUUGGGUGUGAAAUCCCUCGGCUCAACCGAGGAACUGCGCCCAAAACUGCUAUGCUUGAGGAAGAUAGAGGUAAGCGGAACUUACGGUGGAGCGGUGAAAUGCGUUGAUAUCGUAAGGAACACCUGUGGCGAAGGCGAGUCUCUGGACAGUUACUGACGCUGAGGCACGAAGGCCAGGGGAGCAAACGGG
rnacentral:rRNA from 1 species